CCCGGAAGUACUUUUUUAUUUUUGUUGACGAGAUGCAGAUGUCAUCUUGUUGAAUGAAAUAGUUAGCUAGUGAACUAAAAUGUGACAGCAUCUACUGCGUAAUCAUAACGUUAUAUUUGUCUAAAUGUAGGCUUUUAAAUCUCAGGGAAAAUGUCACGUUUAAAGGAUCAACUGGCCACCGUCAUGAGGCUUUUAGUAAAUGCAGCCGUGGUGGAAAUAAGUAAAUUGUUGGACGAGUGCACGAGUCAAAACGUUUACACCGAGUCACAGAGGCAGAGCACUGGCUCUGGGACUGAGCUGUCUGCCACCAUGAAGAGAUUGUGCAGAGAGGCCAUGCAAAAAAUCAUUAGUCUCAUAGAUGAGGAUACAGCUUCUCUGCGUCUGCAAGUGUCUGUGUGUCAGAGAGAUAAUCAGGUUCUGAAGGAGAAUCUCCAGUUGAUGGAUGGGGACCUGAGGACGACUAGAGGGCUUGGAGAGGUGGGUGCAGAGGACAGGAAGACCCAAGGAAAAGACCUGACUAAAAUUGUGCGCUUGUCUGAAGUCAACAGUGGCAUGUCUUCAGAGACGGAGGAGGAAUGUGCUGAAUGGAUCACGUUGAAGGAGGGUACCCUGCAACAGGACGCCCAGACAGGACACACACGUGAGGACACAGGUAAGUAGUUAUGAAGUCACCUUUCAAUACGUUCAGAAUGGUCUGAAUGUAGUCUACUGACUGCAUUACAUCUUAUAUUCACAACUUAGAAAGUUUAAAUGAAUUAAUAUUGAAUAUCUACUGCCCAGAUGGAGAAUCCAGGACAGAGGCUGGGGAGGAUGCUACUAUUGAACACAACUUGGAGGAGGAGAUUACUACACCACUCUCACCAGCAAAGGCCCAAGAUGACCAAGACUUAGAGCCUGCUGCGCCCACAG
rnacentral:lncRNA from 1 species